UUUACUCUUAAGAAGUUAUUCUUUAAGAAAUCUAUUCAGAUAUUAUACUCUAUCCCAACAAACUGUCUGAUGAUGGACAAAAUGUCUGAAAAUGCUUAGUGGGAAGUAAUUUUAAAAGAGUAAACUCCAAAAAAAUAAAAUGUUGACAUCUGAAUUGCUAUAUAUCUAAUUCAACAUUAUCACAUAAAUUUGUCAAAUAUUUGGACAGGAUGAACAGUAUCCACUUCUUGACUUCCUAGAUUUCUGAAUUUAUGUAAAAUAAGUUUACAUUUCACAAAUAAAAGGAUUACAUAUUAUGCACUUUCCAAUAUUUUUUAAGAGCUUCAGAAAUAAAUGCUA